rnacentral:rRNA from 1 species
AAUAUUGCACAAUGGAGGGAACUCUGACGCAGCGACGCCGCGCGAGCGAUGAAGGUCUUCGGAUCGUAAAGCUCUGUCCUUGGGGAAGAAGGGUGCAUUAUAGCAUCUUGACGGUACCCGAGGAGGAAGCCCCGGCUAACUACGUGCCAGCAGCCGCGGUAAUACGUAGGGGGCGAGCGUUAUCCGGAAUUAUUGGGCGUAAAGGGUGCGUAGGCGGCCUUUUAAGUCAGAUGUGAAAGGCUACGGCUUAACCGUAGUUAGCAUUUGAAACUAAAAGGCUUGAGUGCAGGAGAGGAGAGUGGAAUUCCUAGUGUAGCGGUGAAAUGCGUAGAUAUUAGGAGGAACACCAGUGGCGAAGGCGACUCUCUGGACUGCAACUGACGCUGAGGCACGAAAGCGUGGGGAGCGAACA